rnacentral:rRNA from 1 species
CGUAAACAACCUGCCUUCAAGAUGGGACAACAGACGGAAACGACUGCUAAUACCGAAUACGAUCCGAAAGUCGCAUGACAUUUGGAUGAAAGGGUGGCCUUAUCGAAGAAGCUAUCGCUUGAAGAGGGGUUUGCGUCCGAUUAGGUAGUUGGUGAGGUAACGGCCCACCAAGCCGACGAUCGGUAGCCGGUCUGAGAGGAUGAACGGCCACACUGGAACUGAGACACGGUCCAGACUCCUACGGGAGGCAGCAGCC